GGAAAGCAACGGAAGUUGGAGAGACUUUGCAACAGCUGCAAGAGUUUCAGUCCCGGGCAGAGAGCGACCACCGGGGCGAGGCAAAGUCCCGCGGCCGGCGUGCGCCCGACCCACGGGACCCCAAGGCCUCGCUGCUCCCGGGGCGGGCCCCACCUGGCCAAGAGCGCGCGGACGUGGGCUGCAGCCGCCCGCCUCGCCUCACCUUUCGUCAGCGUGUCCAGCACCCCCGACUUCUCCAAGUACCUCCGGAACUGCUCGCGCUUCGAGUCGGCGGCCUGA
ensembl:antisense